AACUUUAGGGUGAUAACACUGGAGCUCAAAAAUCACAGCAUUGACAGCAUUCACGUGAAAUACCCUUCUAAUCAGUCCUGUUCAUCAAUAGCAUAUUAUCCCAGACGAGAUGGCACACCCGCAAGCAUAGACGAUAGAAGACUGUUCAGGUAGGUAACAUAUAAGCCGCACCUUCAUCGCCAUAUAGGGAUUUCUGAGGCCGACGGUUACCUCCAUGCUCUUCCUCGCGCUGCGACGGUCGGCCACCGUACUCAGAUUCCUCGGACUCAUACUUGGAAGGUCGGGGCCUGGAAGGGCGAGACUCUGAGUCUCCAUCAUCAUAUUGUGAAGGACGAGGUUUAGCUGGACGAGAUUCUGAGUCUUCAUCAUCAUAGUGUGAAGGACGAGGUUUAGCUGGACGAGAUUCUGAGUUUUCAUCAUCGUAGUGCGAAGGACGAGGUUUAGCUGGACGAGAUUCUGAGUCUUCGUUAUCAUAUUGUGAAGGACGAGGUUUUGCUGGACGAGAUUCUGAGUCUUCGUCAUCAUGUCGUGAAGGACGGGGCUUGGUUGGCCGAGACUCAGACUCUUCAUCAUCGUACUUCGAGGGUCGGGGUUUGGAAGGAUGAUAGUCUUCGUCCUCACCACUUGACUGACCACGACCUAGAUAAAAGCACCCAAUUGCGAGUUAGGGAUGGCGUGUCUCAACAAUCCUGUAGUUAUUAAGGUCAUCAACAUGUUAAUUAUUAAAACACAGAAAUCAUGCACAGUUCAGCCAUUACACCCGAUAAGUUCCCAGUCAUAGCUGCUUCUUUACGGAUAUUGCAGUACAAGCAUCUAAUUUUCAAUACCAGAGCUACUAUAUACACCGAUUCGAAAUGGUGUAAAAGGAAUAGCUCGACUAAGAUUGUGACCCAA
rnacentral:lncRNA from 1 species